rnacentral:rRNA from 1 species
UGCUGCAUGGCCGUCGUCAGCUCGUGCCGUGAGAUGUUGGGUUAAGUCCCGCAACGAGCGCAACCUGUCAUUAGUUGCUACAUUCAGUUGGGCACUCUAAUGAGACUGCCGGUGACAAACCGGAGGAAGGUGGGGAUGACGUCAAGUCCUCAUGGCCCUUAUAGGUGGGGCUACACACGUCAUACAAUGGAUGGUACAAAGGGUCGCCAACCCGCGAGGGGGAGCCCAAUCCCAUAAAGCCAUUCGUAGUCCGGAUCGCAGUCUGCAACUCGACUGCGUGAAGUCGGAAUCGCUAGUAAUCGUGGAUCAGAAUGUCACGGUGAAUACGUUCCCGGGUCUU